GCUGUAAACCUUCAUCUCUCCUGGACCAGCAGGAUGUGGAGCUGUGGCUGAGGAUCACAGCCCAGGAGAACAAUGCUGAGAAGAGAACACUCAAGACAUGAGAAAGAAAUGGUAAAGAAAUGGCCACCAGAGGACACAUGAAGAGGACGUGGACGAGGAAAAGACCGCUGUCACAAAACAGCUGUCAGGUCGUAUGGAGCCAGAGUCAACAGCUUUGUACACAACGACUUUGUACACAACAACUUUGUGACGCGAGAUGGAAGGGAAGCGUCCCACAAAUUAUAUUAGAGUGAAGAGACAGUUGUGUUCAGUUCAUGCAACCUAGUGUUCUGUGAAGAGAGAGAGAGAGACAUGGGAAGAAGAGAGAGACUGAGGGUGAGAACACUGUUAGUGAUCUAAAGCCGCGUGAAUGCAUUAGAAAACAAUUCAUGCAACCUAUUGUUCUAUAAUAGUAAUUGUUUAAAUAAAUCAAUUCUGUACUCAGGA